CACGUAGGGCGCAAGCGUUGUCCGGAAUUAUUGGGCGUAAAGAGCUCGUAGGCGGUCUGUUGCGUCCGCUGUGAAAACCCGGGGCUUAACCCUGGGCUGGCAGUGGAUACGGACAGACUAGAGGUAGGUAGGGGAGAAUGGAAUUCCCGGUGUAGCGGUGAAAUGCGCAGAUAUCGGGAGGAACACCGGUGGCGAAGGCGGUUCUCUGGGCCUUACCUGACGCUGAGGAGCGAAAGCGUGGGGAGCGAACAGG
rnacentral:rRNA from 2 species